rnacentral:rRNA from 1 species
CCCGUAGGAUACAACCGUUAUCCGGAGUUCCUGGGCGUAAAGGGCGUGUAGGUGGUUUCGUAAGUCUGGCGUGAAAUAUCUCGGCUUAACCGAGGCAGGUCGUCGGAUACUGCGGAACUAGAGGACGGUAGAGGCGUGUGGAAUUCCGGGUGUAGUGGUGAAAUGCGUAGAGAUCCGGAGGAACACCAGUGGCGAAGGCGGGUCUCUGGGCAAUUCCUGACGCUGAGGCGCGAAAGCGUGGGGAGCAAACAGG